UGUUUAAUGCAAAUCACUAGCUGCAGGCACGUACUCACUCAUUUAGAAUCAUCUGGAUUCAUCAACAUUAGAACAAGAGAAAGAACAAAUUUAUGUGCGUUACACACCUGCUGUGAAUCCGACGGGUUUGUACUGCAGCAUGAGAAGUUCUUCUGCACACAUGAAUUUGUAAAUUGUACAUAAUUAUUAGCUAUGACUUAUUCAUCAAGCCUAUCUCGGGUGUCUGGAAACUUCUUUAGGUUUUCCCAUUAGUUAAUAAAUGAUGAGCUGAAGUUUUGUGAAGUGCCCCUCAGGGUCUGUGUGAUGCUGUGGCCUCAGGAUCUCUACUUAGUGGACUACCAAGACAGAAUGUUCUUAAAGGGAGAAGUCCUGCCCGACCAUUCUGCGCCAAACUGCUUCACAAAUGAGGGGCUUUUCAACGCUGGAUUUUCAAAAAGGUUGAUUCUGAAAGAUGGGUCAAUAGCAAAACGCUUUGUGCGCAAACUUCAGAUCGAGACAAAUCACGCCCUAUUGGCCCACGCCACCCACCUGGUCCCCGUGUUCCUGUGACAUCAUUGAGCAGCUGUCCAAUACUAUACAAUUGGUGCCCCCGUGGCAUAAAAGUGGAGAGUAGACGGCACUCGCGAGGCCCUGUCUGCAAAUGUGUGUUCCUCCCAAAUUAAUGUUACUCCCCUUUACCCCUUGACUGACCACAACAGGGGUCAUAACAAUGAUUUUUAAAGCAUCUGCAUUUAUUGAUUAUCAUGGACAGCUGAUGGAAAACAAGUUUUUCUCUUUACCAAAAUGUUUUAAGUCAUCUUAGUUUUAAUGUAUGAUAAUAACCCCAUUUUAUGCAUAUAAUUCAAGAUCUGACACUAAAUAACAGGCACACACACGUGUUAAACGCAUUUAACAAAAUUAAACUCACAUGCAAACAUUGAUGUUUUUAAGCCAGUCUCUGUAACCCGACUCUCAUUACUGUACUGUUUAUGCUGAUUAAAUUUCAGAACGUGUCGUUUCCGUGCUGACAUGAACACUCUUAUUAAGACAAAUAUUUCCACCCAGUAGACCUGGGAAUUGAGAGGGAAAGGAAAAGAACAUUUGAAACUGAAAU